rnacentral:snRNA from 1 species
GUUUUUGCGCAGGUGCAAUACACCAUCAAGUGAGGAUAAUUCCGAUGAGGUGUUUUUGCUAAUUGAAAACUUUUCCCAAUACCCCGCUAUUAGUUUUACUGAUCAUAGUAAAACUUUUAGCAAUUUUUAAAGGUCCGACAAGGA